AGGACGAACGCUGGCGGCGUGCUUAACACAUGCAAGUCGAACGGGCUCGUGGCACUUGUGUUGCGGGUUAGUGGCGAACGGGUGAGUAACACGUGAGUAACCUGCCCCAGACUCUGGGAUAACUCCGGGAAACCGGUGCUAAUACUGGAUAUGACAUCAAGCCGCAUGGUUAUGGUGUGGAAAGUUUUUCGGUCUGGGAUGGGCUCGCGGCCUAUCAGCUUGUUGGUGAGGUAGUGGCUCACCAAGGCGACGACGGGUAGCCGGCCUGAGAGGGCGAUCGGCCACACUGGGACUGAGACACGGCCCAGACUCCUACGGGAGGCAGCAGUGGGGAAUAUUGCACAAUGGGCGCAAGCCUGAUGCAGCGACGCCGCGUGAGGGAUGAAGGCCUUCGGGUUGUAAACCUCUUUCAGCAGGGGAGAAGCCGUUCGGGUGACGGUACCGUGCAGAAGAAGCACCGGCUAACUACGCGCCAGCAGCCGCGGUAA
rnacentral:rRNA from 1 species